AAACUUUUAAAUUUUUGUAUCUAGGGUAGUCUCUUCAUCUUCUUCACAUUUCUUUAAUUUCAAAAUCCCUCCCUCCAUUUUCAAAAACUUCUUUGUGUGAACUACUUUUGUUCUAAACUUUGACCACUUUCAAAGAGGUAGAAACUUUGGCCUUAUGCCAUUGCAUUUUCAAACUUAUUUUCUUAAAUCAAACUUGUAAAUAAACUUAACCAUAUUUGACUUAAACUUUG
rnacentral:lncRNA from 1 species